rnacentral:rRNA from 1 species
UAGGGAAUCUUCGGCAAUGGGGGCAACCCUGACCGAGCAACGCCGCGUGAGUGAAGAAGGUUUUCGGAUCGUAAAGCUCUGUUGUAAGUCAAGAACGAGUGUGAGAGUGGAAAGUUCACACUGUGACGGUAGCUUACCAGAAAGGGACGGCUAACUACGUGCCAGCAGCCGCGGUAAUACGUAGGUCCCGAGCGUUGUCCGGAUUUAUUGGGCGUAAAGCGAGCGCAGGCGGUUUGAUAAGUCUGAAGUUAAAGGCUGUGGCUCAACCAUAGUUCGCUUUGGAAACUGUCAAACUUGAGUGCAGAAGGGGAGAGUGGAAUUCCAUGUGUAGCGGUGAAAUGCGUAGAUAUAUGGAGGAACACCGGUGGCGAAAGCGGCUCUCUGGCUUGUAACUGACGCUGAGGCUCGAAAGCGUGGGGAGCAAACAGGAUUAGAUACCCUGGUAGUCCACGCUGUAAACGAUGAGUGCUAGGUGUUAGACCCUUUCCGGGGUUUAGUGCCGUAGCUAACGCAUUAAGCACUCCGCCUGGGGAGUACGACCGCAAGGUUG